GGUGCUCACAGACUUUCAACUCAGUAUUAUGCUAUAUCCCAAGUACUGAACUUGUUUCUGAAGAAAGAAUUCUUCUGCCUUCCAGAGCCCUCUCUACACAUACACAAAGCUCAGAGACAAUGAAAGGAGUAUUUUUGCAAUGGUGACCGACUUCUGAUUGACCAUGACUGAGUGUGCCAUGGAGAGUUAUUUUAAUGAAGCAUCAGUGAAGAAGCGCUUCAAUGGAUUGGGACCCAGUCUUCAGAGCAGACCCAUCUCUUGGCCCUGUGUGGAUCAGCAGUAUGCUUCAAACCCGUUCUUCUGCCUAAACAGUAAGACAAAUCCUAAUGAAGGAGCUAGAAAAGGCAUGUUGGAAGCAAAGAUUGACUAUGACAUAAAGUAGGCUCAUGAGGAACAGCUGAAACUGAUGCCAGAAAAGCUUUGAAAAAGGAAACAGAGAGGUUCAAAAAGCCUUGGAAGAGUGACAAUGAUUCACCUACAGGAAGAAGCACAAUAGAACCAAA